UUAUUGUAUAUGAUGACACCAUAGUUCAGCUGAUUGCUAUGAAGAACAAUCUUUCGCUCCUAUCUGAUACAUUCU